rnacentral:lncRNA from 1 species
UCGGCUUCAUAUGAAAUGUGAUAAAAAAUGCCAUCAUAGUUCAGUGAGGGAAGCAAAGUUCCUGUUGAAGAUAAUCUCUAAACAUGAACAUCUCUCNNNNNNNNNNNNNNNNNNNNCAAAGUUCCUGUUGAAGAUAAUCUCUAAACAUGAACAUCUCUCUCUCUCUCUCUCUCUCUCUCUAAACUUUAUUACAGGGAGCUGUUAGAAAUCUAAAGUGCCUUCUCGUCACCCUGUCUACAAUUACAGGUGGGCACAGGCAUCACCGCCUGUUUACAGAACUAACAACAAGAGUAAUUGUGACGAUGGUGAUGCCAGUAAUAACAGCAACAACAACAAUAACAGUAACAAAUGAAUGAAUAAGUCAGCCUGUGGAGACGAACCCUGUCACUGGACACCAUGUACAGCGUGGAAGAGCAGCACCCAGCCUUCCCUUGGCGAGUGCGACCGCCAUUGCUUGCCGAAAAUGGGGAAAAAACAAGACCAGAGAGGCCGGCCAUCAUUC